UGCAAGUCGAGCGAACAGACGAGGAGCUUGCUUCUCUGACGUUAGCGGCGGACGGGUGAGUAACACGUGGAUAACCUACCUAUAAGACUGGGAUAACUUCGGGAAACCGGAGCUAAUACCGGAUAAUAUAUUGAACCGCAUGGUUCAAUAGUGAAAGACGGUUUUGCUGUCACUUAUAGAUGGAUCCGCGCCGCAUUAGCUAGUUGGUAAGGUAACGGCUUACCAAGGGCAACGAUGCGUAGCCGACCUGAGAGGGUGAUCGGCCACACUGGAACUGAGACACGGUCCAGACUCCUACGGGAGGCAGCAGUAGGGAAUCUUCCGCAAUGGGCGAAAGCCUGACGGAGCAACGCCGCGUGAGUGAUGAAGGUCUUCGGAUCGUAAAACUCUGUUAUUAGGGAAGAACAAAUGUGUAAGUAACUAUGCACGUCUUGACGGUACCUAAUCAGAAAGCCACGGCUAACUACGUGCCAGCAGCCGCGGUAAUACGUAGGUGGCAAGCGUUAUCCGGAAUUAUUGGGCGUAAAGCGCGCGUAGGCGGUUUUUUAAGUCUGAUGUGAAAGCCCACGGCUCAACCGUGGAGGGUCAUUGGAAACUGGAAAACUUGAGUGCAGAAGAGGAAAGUGGAAUUCCAUGUGUAGCGGUGAAAUGCGCAGAGAUAUGGAGGAACACCAGUGGCGAAGGCGACUUUCUGGUCUGUAACUGACGCUGAUGUGCGAAAGCGUGGGGAUCAAACAGGAUUAGA
rnacentral:rRNA from 1 species